rnacentral:rRNA from 1 species
UACAGAGGUCCCGAGCGUUGUUCGGAUUCAUUGGGCGUAAAGGGUGCGUAGGUGGCGCCGUAAGUCAGGUGUGAAAUUUCGGAGCUUAACUCCGAAACUGCAUUUGAUACUGCGGUGCUUGAGGACUGGAGAGGAGACUGGAAUUUACGGUGUAGCAGUGAAAUGCGUAGAGAUCGUAAGGAAGACCAGUGGCGAAGGCGGGUCUCUGGACAGUUCCUGACACUGAGGCACGAAGGCCAGGGGAGCAAACGGG